AGACUGAUAAAGAAAGAUAAAUUAACUUAGGUUCAUGCACGCACAUAUACAACUCUUUGAAAUAGCGGCAGAGAAAACGAAACCGAAAGUAAACUGGAACCGCUCUGACAGAGUCUGCACAUGCACAACUACGUCACGCGCACAUUGACAAGACUGCCCUUACAAACAAAGAAGGAAUUUAGUACAGUUAAUGUGAGUGGGAACUAUUAAUUAUUGCUGUCUUUACAGGAGAAGAUGCCAGACUUUUGUCCAGUCUACAGAUUCUCCAAUCGCCGUCGUCUCAAAACGAGAGCCCGUGGAUCACCUUUCACCUAAUGUUUCUUUUCUUCUGGAGCGAGGACUUUGACAGAACGGGGCAGAAUGUGCCAAACAACUUUCCAGCUCUUCUUCAAAGGGUCUGUGUAUCAUCGACCAACAAUAAUUCAAGAGCAACAACAUGCGACAGAAGCUCAAUAAAACCGUCCUUUUCAAAGAGCAUUAGCCCUUUUUAUCUCUGUCCUUCACAGUAGUGUAGUUCUCUCUACAGGGAGGGGAUUUCAACAUGCAGCAUUUCUUUAUGUAUAUUUGUAAAGGGGAAUCUUGUACCUAUUUUUAUUUGCAAAUAAAUAUAACUUUUAUAAUAGUUUAUAAAU